AUUGAACGCUGGCGGCAGGCCUAACACAUGCAAGUCGAACGAGUGGCGGACGGGUGAGUAAUGUCUGGGAAACUGCCCGAUGGAGGGGGAUAACGACUGGAAACGGUAGCAAAUACCGCAUACCAUCGGAUGUACCCAGGUGGGAUUAGCUUGUAGGUGAGGUAACGGCUCACCUAGCGGACGAUCCCUGGCUGGUCUGAGAGGAUGACCAGCCAGACUGGAACUGAGACACGGUACAGACUCCUACGGUAGGCAGCAGUGGGGAAUAUUGCACAAUGUGCGCAAGCCUGAUCCAGCCAUGCCGCGUGGAUGAAGAAGGCCUUCGGGUUGUAAAGUACUUUCAGCGGGGAGGCGUUACCCGCAGAAGAAGCACCGGCUAACUUCGUGCCAGCAGCCGCGGUAAUUC
rnacentral:rRNA from 1 species